rnacentral:rRNA from 1 species
GCGCAGGCGGUUCGUUAAGACAGAUGUGAAAUCCCCGGGCUUAACCUGGGAACUGCAUUUGUGACUGGCGAGCUAGAGUAUGGCAGAGGGGGGUAGAAUUCCACGUGUAGCAGUGAAAUGCGUAGAGAUGUGGAGGAAUACCGAUGGCGAAGGCAGCCCCCUGGGCCAAUACUGACGCUCAUGCACGAAAGCGUGGGGAGCAAACAGGAUUAGAUACCCUGGUAGUCCACGCCCUAAACGAUGUCAACUAGUUGUUGGGUCUUCAUUGACUUAGUAACGUAGCUAACGCGUGAAGUUGACCGCCUGGGGAGUACGGUCGCAAGAUUAAAACUCAAAGGAAUUGACGGGGACCCGCACAAGCGGUGGAUGAUGUGGAUUAAUUCGAUGCAACGCGAAAAACCUUACCUACCCUUGACAUGGUCGGAACCCUGCUGAAAGGUGGGGGUGCUCGAAAGAGAACCGAUACACAGGUGCUGCAUGGCUGUCGUCAGCUCGUG